CUCCCGGUCUCAUUUGCAUACAGCGCGCGCCCCCGCGCGCGUGACGCGGGCCGCUUUUUCCCGCCCCGCCGCGCCCCUUUUCCCGCGUGUUCGGUGCCCGGUUUCCGUUCGCCGCCGCUCCGCCGUGCGCGCGAGCCCCGCCGCUCAUUUGCAUGCGAUUUGCAUGCGGCGGGGCGGCGGAGCGGAGCCAUGUCGGCGGCGCCGCGGGGCGGCGGCGGGGCCCCGCGGGGCAGGGCCGGCGAGAAGCAGUGCUCAUGGGCUUCCUACAUGACCAACUCCCCGACGCUGAUCGUGAUGAUCGGGCUGCCUGCCAGGGGCAAGACCUACAUGUCCAAAAAGCUCACCCGCUACCUCAACUGGAUCGGGGUGCCCACCAAAGUGUUUAAUUUAGGGGUGUAUCGGCGUGAGGCAGUGAAGUCCUACAAGUCCUACGACUUCUUCAGGCACGACAACAAAGAGGCCAUGGAAAUCCGCAAACGCUGUGCCCUGGUGGCUCUGGAAGAUGUGAAGUCUUAUCUCUUGGAGGAGUGUGGGCAAAUAGCGGUGUUCGAUGCGACCAACACGACUCGGGAGCGCCGGGACCUGAUCUUGAACUUUGCUAAGGAAAAUGCUUUCAAGGUGUUUUUCGUGGAGUCUGUCUGUGAUGAUCCAGAGGUCAUUGCUGCCAACAUCCUGGAGGUGAAAGUUUCCAGCCCUGACUACCCAGAGAGGCACAGGGAGAACGUGAUGGACGAUUUCCUGAAGAGGAUUGAGUGCUACAAGGUCACCUACCAGCCCCUGGACCCGGAUGCUUAUGACAAAGAUCUCUCCUUCAUUAAAGUGAUCAACGUGGGCCAGAGGUUCCUGGUGAACCGAGUGCAGGAUUACAUCCAGAGUAAGAUUGUCUAUUACCUGAUGAACAUCCACGUGCAGCCGCGCACCAUCUACCUGUGCCGCCACGGCGAGAGCGAGUACAACCUCCUGGGCAGGAUUGGAGGGGACUCUGGGCUGUCACCCCGGGGCAAGCAGUUUUCCCAUGCUCUGAAGAAGUUCAUUGAGGAGCAGGAGAUCGUGGACCUGAAGGUGUGGACGAGCCAGCUGAAGAGGACAAUCCAGACUGCAGAGUGCCUGGGGGUGCUCUAUGAGCAGUGGAAGAUCCUCAACGAGAUUGAUGCUGGGGUCUGUGAAGAAAUGACCUAUGCAGAAAUUGAAGCCAAGUAUCCAGAGGAGUUUGCCAUGAGGGAUCAGGAGAAAUAUCUUUAUCGUUACCCUGGAGGGGAGUCCUACCAGGACUUGGUGCAGCGCCUGGAGCCGGUAAUUAUGGAGCUGGAAAGGCAAGGAAAUGUCCUGGUUAUCUCCCACCAGGCAGUUAUGAGGUGCCUCCUGGCUUAUUUUCUUGACAAGAGUGCAGAUGAGCUGCCCUACCUGCGCUGCCCCCUCCACACCAUUUUCAAGCUCACGCCUGUUGCCUAUGGCUGCAAAGUGGAGACAAUUUCCAUGGGUGUGGAGGCAGUGAACACCCACCGGGAAAAGCCCUCCCUGAACUCAGUGAUUCCCUCUGUGUGGGAUCAGCACGACCUCCCCAGCAGGCAGAGCCCUGUGAGGAUGAGGAGGAACAGCUUUACCCCGCGGGCCAGCGCCGACACCGUAAAGCGCCCGCGGCACCACAGCCUGGGCAGCAAACCCCUCCACCUGCUGGGGCCUCUCCCAUCCCUGGAUGCUCGAGGGCCUCUCCCAUCCCUGGAAGCUGGAGAAGGGGCUGAGCAGCCACAGCUGGAAGUCACUGUCCAGGUGGUACCAUCCCUUUGCUCUUCCUCCCCAUUAUUGCCCGAAAUCCAGGCCCUGCCCAGGAUCUUGAGCAGGGUCUCUGUUUCUGCAUGGAAAUGAUCCAGCCUGGGUUGGAUUAAGGAAAAAAAACAACAGAAAAACCCCUUCAAAACCAACCCCAAAACUCAAAAUCCCCCUGUCCAGCUGGAAUUGUGGUGCCAGUCUUUCAGAAUGAGGCUCCACACAGGCAGGUUUCCAUCAGUGCCACGGGGUUUUGGCAGGGGCCUCUCCCAUCCCUUGAAGCUCGAGGGCCUUUCCCAUCCCUGGAAGGUGAAGAAGGGGCUGAGCAGCCACAGCUGGAAGUCACUGUCCAGCCUCCAGAGGGAAAUGCUUGCCUCUGAGCACCACUGCAAGCAGCUUGGGUGUGCUCUCUUUGGGAAAAUGGCCACUUUGGGAGUGUAGGAGUUCCUGCUUUCCCCUUGGAUCCAGCUGGGGAUUCCAGCACCAGGAGGAGCCGGGGCUGGAGCAUCCCUGGGGCACCGUGAGCCACCCUGGCCAGCACUUGCCUUGAACUGUGAUUCUAGAGCCUGUCUGUGUCUUUUUUUUUCUUUCCAAAUGCUGCAGUGUCUGUCCAUGGGGCUGGAGAUGAUUUCCUGUGGAGAUUUUUCCAAGCUGCUUUUAGUGCUCCCAAGCCAACGCAUCCCCGGGUGUUGAAAUCGUGUCCCACGCCUUUCCUCCUGGCCAGGAGCCCAAAUUAACCACAGUGGGAGGACAAAAUAAUCAUGUUUUCACUCGCUGAGGCAGCUUUUCUUUGGAAAAGGCAUUUCCAGGCCAAAUCCCCCGGGUUUUAUUUCUCCAUGAAAUCCAAGUUAUUUCAAAGUUCAAACUCAUUUUUUUUUCUGGUUUUCUGCCAUCCAGGGAGCUCCUGGUAGGGUUUGACUUUCCCUCCUUGAGUGCUGGUGUGAGUCCCCCAAUCUGAGCCGGUUCCUUUUGGCUUGGAUGUUUGUUCCAGGAUUUUUCUUGGAUCUGACACCCAGAAAUCCAUCCCAUGGGCUGCCUCCUGUGAGGGGACAGAUGGGAAUAAACCCUCCUGCCCCUCUCUGGGAUCAGCACAGCUCCCAGUGCGUUAAAUCCCACCUCAACCCCUAUUUUAGCUUCUCCUCCCUACCAAAACUCCAUCCUCUCACUCAUUUUUCCUGCAUUUUUGGGGUGUUUUUAUCCAUUUACCCCCAAAAAUGGGAGCGUGGCUGGGACCAGCAGGGCUCCUGGGCAGGGUUUGCAGGAAGCACAAGGUUUUUUACCAGUUUUCUUUAUUUUACACCAAAUUUUUAGGCCCAACAACAAGCUUUUAACUUGCCUCUGAAUAAGCUGUGAAUGUUCCCAAUGCUGCCUUUCAUAGUUUUAAGCUGUUGUAGAGUUUGCAGCUCUGUGUGGCCGUGUCUUAACUUAAAUCCUUCCCUUAAAUCCCCACCAAACCCCGAAUUUUCAGUUCUCUCCCACAAGUCUUGACUUGCAUUUUGCCAAACUCCAUUUUACCCCACUCCAGCUGUUCUUGCAAUAAGGGCAGGACCCUCAGGUUGGGUGAAAAAAGGAACAUUUGGGUACAGAGCAGGAGGCUGUUCUGGACCUGCUGUUCCCAAAUGACUCCAGGAUUUAUCUGAGCAAUUCUGGGCCCCAGAAAUUGCUUAUUUUAAAUGUGUAAAUAAAUGUUGAAUAUACCCACAGCAGGGAAAAUAUGCCUUGGCUGUGGAGGAGCUCGGUAACCCCAAAGCUUAAGGCUUAACCUGGGCAUUUUGAGCUCAAACUUUGCUGUUUUAAACACUCCCAGAGUUGUAAUUUGAUAAAACUGAGAUAGAGAGGACCAAGGCACAAAUCUGGACCCCUCAGGAUUUCUGAGGAGCAGAAAAAUAUGUUGAUCUAAAGCAGUUGUGCCACAAAGGGGUGAAAUUUGCUGGUGAAAAAUUGAGUUUUUAUUUGUUUUUCUCCUCAGGGUUUUCCUACCCCAGGUCUGGUUUUGGAUUUUAAAUGUUUUUAUGUUUAGAAAUAAACCAGAAAAAAUAAAAAGUUGAAGGAAGGUAUUUAGAGCCUGUCCAUGGCAGUCCUGACUGUCACACUCCAAAGUGCUCUGAACGCACAAACCCGUCCUUGUCAGGCUGGCUGCUCUGACCAAACCCCUCCUGCUCUGGAAAAAGGAGUGGAAAAUGUACUGUAGGAUGUUUACACACAAAAAUGCUGGCAUAACUUGCUGAAGAGUUCAGGAUGUUCAUAUCACUGAGCAGUAAAUGAUUGUAAGGAGACAAAAAAAAAAAAAAUCUAUAUUUUUACCUGCUGGGAUUUGUGAACGUCGCUGUUGAUUUGUUGUUGGUGGUCGUGACUUUUGUUUUUUAAUCACUGCUGAAAAUCUGGUGUUUUGCAGUUUGGCUCCUUUUGGGGGCUGUGGGGUGGAAUUCCAUCUUUCUCUGCAGUGUUUGUGCCUCAGUGCUUUAAUUAAAGCUUUUUCCUCCUGCA